AUUGAACGCUGUCGGUAGGCCUAACACAUGCAAGUCGAACGAGUGGCGGACGGGAGAGUAAUGUCUGGGACACUGCUUGAUGGAUGGGGAUAACUCCUGGAAACUGUAGCUAAUACCGCAUACCAUUGUAUUUGCCCAGAUUGGAUUAGCUAGUAGGUGGGGUAAAGGCUCACCUAGGCGACGAUCCCUAGCUGGUCUGAGAGGAUGACCAGCCACACUGGAACUGAGACAUGGUCCAGACUCCUACGGGAGGCAGCAGUGGGGAAUAUUGCACAAUGGGCGCAAGCCUGAUGCAGCCAUGCCGCGUGUAUGAAGAAGGCCUUCGGGUUGUAAAGUACUUUCAGCGGGGAGGCGUUACCCGAAGAAGAAGCACCGGCUAACUACGUGCCAGCAGCCGCGGUAAUAC
rnacentral:rRNA from 1 species